rnacentral:sRNA from 1 species
GCUGGGCAUGGUGGCGCAUGCCCUUAAUCUCAGUUACUCAGGAGGCUGAGGCAGGAGAAUCGCAAGUUCAAAGGCAGCCUCAGCAACUUAGUGAGGCCCUAAGCAAUUUAGUGAGACUCUGUCUCAA